rnacentral:rRNA from 1 species
AUGUACAUCAUCUCCAUCCAUCCAUCUCUGCAAUACACAUCCUUCUCUGUCUAUUUUUCUCCACCUCCCUCUCAGCGCUUCAGUACUUCAAGGCUUCUAGGAAGCCCUGUAGUAAUGGUAGCAAUGCCAAAGACUACCAUCUUCUUCUCCACCAUCAUCUUCAUGCUUCUUUUCGCUCAAGCUAGCGGCUCUGACAGUGGCAAGCCCAAGGUGACUAAGCUCAUGGUGGAAGCAUGCAAGAAGGCCUCGAUCAACAACCCCUACAACGAAUCUCUCACGCAAGAAUUCUGUUUGUCGACCCUCCAGUCGGACAAUCGAAGUGCCAAGGCUAAGGACCUCCAUGACUUAGUGCUCGUCACUGUCGACAUCCUUAAGAGCCGAGUCGCUGCCGCUAGUGGUAAGAUCAAGCAAAAGCUGCAAGAUGCCAAGAAGGGAACAGUGGCAAUGCACGUUCUCAGUUAUUGUGAGGUGGAGUAUGAAGAUGUGGUGAGACGCCUCAACGUGUGCCACAGCCUGAUCAAGGACUACCAAGGUGACAAGAGCGGGCAGCAGUUCUUGCAUCUGCCCGACUGUGUGGAUAUGAAUUACGGCCCUAUCGUCAUGUGUUGGUACGAGCUUCCAGAUAUGCCUGGUGCGGAGGCGCUCAUCAAAGAAAACGAUGAGUUGAUCAUGCUUGUCAUCCUCAACAACGCCUUGCUAAUAUUGUAUGAUGUCCGUGAUUAA